rnacentral:rRNA from 1 species
UCCCCAACCGGGCACGAGCGGUGUUGCGUUCCGGAGGGUCCAGCACGCUGCUCCAUACCGCCUAAGUCAAGCUUGAACGCGGCCACUACCCAUGGAGGGUGACAGGCCCGUAUGGCGGCGCCCGCGAGGGUACAGAUGGGGCGGUCGGAAAGGACUAUUCUCCGUAGAGUCGGGUUGCUUGGAAGUGCAGCCCAAAGUAGGUGGUAAACUCCAUCUAAGGCUAAAUAUGACCACGAGACCGAUAGCGAACAAGUACCGUGAGGGAAAGUUGAAAAGAACUUUGAAGAGAGAGUUCAAGAGUACGUGAAACCGUCAAGAGCCAAACGGGUGGAGGCUCGAAGGUCGAAAUGAGGGGAUUCAGCCCGUCGGAAAUUUGCUGGCUGGUAGGCAAUGGCACGACCCUUUUAAACUUGGGCGUCCUUCCUGCCUAAGUUGGCGCCGGCGGGCGUAUUUCGCCUCUUAGUAGGUCGCCGCGACCCGUUGCUGGGGACGUCUAAGGCCCGGGUGGAUUGGUACCCCGCCGCUUGUCUUCCUUCUCUCGGGAGGGAUUUCCGGCGACUGGGGGAAACCCUCGGUGUUUCCUGGCUGCCCUGCGACGGUCGUUGAGAGGAGCCCCCUUCGGCUUGCCGAGGGGUCUCUCGCGGCGUAUAAAAGUUCGGCGCUCCACCCGUCCCGUCUUGAAACACGGGCCAAGGAGUCCAACAUGUGUGCAAGUCAUUGGGCGCACUAAACCCAAAGGCGUAAUUAAAGUGAGAUGGCUUGGUAUUGACGAAGGUUUGGGGGUUGAUGCACGGGCGGGUUCGGGAGGCGCGUUGUGUCGUAGGCUCACCGUUUCGGCGGGGAGUUGAAAGCACUGGCGUGCCGACUUGACCCGUCUUUGUUUUCUUUUUCCCUUUGCUGGAGUCUUGCCGCUUUGGCCAUGGGUCGAUCCUCGACCGGCUGCCCCCGGUGUGGCUAUCCUCUUCCGUUCUCAGUACGCUGGAUGAGUUAUUUUCUCCGGUCUCUGCUGGGCGGGGGGUUUACGGGAUGGUGCUCGGACGGCGAAGGUCUUUAGUUCCAUAGUGGACAAACCUGCCUAGACAGGGGGGCGCAGGCCCGGGACUUGCCAUAGACGCCACAUGUCUCCCUUAGGUUCUCAGCCCUCGUGGUUGACGCCGAACGGGAGCGAGUGUGUAGUCGGCAAGUACCAUGAGCAGGCAUGUUGGGACCCGAAAGAUGGUGAACUAUGCCUGGCCAGGAUGAAGCCAGAGGAAACUCUGGUGGAGGUCCGUAGCGAUUCUGACGUGCAAAUCGAUCGUCAGAGCUGGGUAUAGGGGCGAAAGACUAAUCGAACCAUCUAGUAGCUGGUUCCCUCCGAAGUUUCCCUCAGGAUAGCUGGAGCUCAAUCCCAGAUGAAUUUCAUCCGGUAAAGCGAAUGAUUAGAGGUCUUGGGGACGAAACGUCCUCAACCUAUUCUCAAACUUUAAAUGGGUGAGAUGCCGAGCUUGCUUAAACGCUGAAGCUUCGGCGAAGAAUCGGAGUUCCUAGUGGGCCACUUUUGGUAAGCAGAACUGGCGCUGUGGGAUGAACCAAACGCCGAGUUAAGGGGCCUAAACGAAUGCUCAUUCWGAUCCCAUCGAAAGGUGUUGGUUGCUAUAGACAGCAGGACGGUGGCCAUGGAAGUUGGAAUCCGCUAAGGAGUGUGUAACAACUCACCUGCCGAAGCAACUAGCCCUUAAAAUGGUAUGGCGCUAAAGCAUUCUCCCGAUACUCGACCGCCGGGGCACUACAGGCUUCUCCUUAAGGGAGAGGUCUCGAAGCCCCGGUGAGUAGGAGGGUCGCGGUGGUGAGCGCUGAAGGGUUCGGCGUGAGCCGGCCUGGAGCCUCCACCGGUGCAGAUCUUGGUGGUAGUAGCAAAUAAUCGAGAGAGACUUCCUUGAAGGCCGAAGUGGAGAAGGGUUCCAUGUGAACAUCAGUUGGACAUGGGUUAGUCGCUCCUAAGCCCAAGGCGAAAGCCUGAUCCCACGCUAGCGGCAACGACCAAGCUAUAGAGAGAGCAUGAGAAAAAUAAAGAGAGAAAGAUUGGAGAGCUUGUGAGAGAGAAAGACCAAUGGAGAUUCCAUACGGACGGAACUAGAGAAAGAAGGGUGGCAAGCUCUGGUGAUGAGGGGCAGUCCACAUUCGUGGCAAGCAACGCGUGUCACUAACUCGCCAUUCCUUACGGACCGAAAUUCCGAUCCAAACACAUAGAAAGACGGACGGACGGAAGGGUGGAGGAGAGCUCUAGUGGUGACGGACAGGUAGUCCACGUUCGUGGCAAUCCGCGUUCCACUAACUCUUCCUUUUCAUUCCUUACGGACCCCCGCCCAAAAUUGAUGAUGAUGAUGAUGAUGAUGAUGAUGAUGAUGAUCCGCUCCAAAAUCUGACUCUGCUUGAUAAAGCCGAAGACUC